rnacentral:tRNA from 1 species
GUGGCCGAAGGAGGCGGCGAGCUGUAGACUCGCAGAUGGAGCGAAGCAACCCACUACCA